ACACGUAUGAAAGUCAAGCUGAAAGACUUUACUCAAUGAUGUAAGUGGUGGUGCAUGGUCGUUCUUAGUUCGUGGAUUGAUUUGUCUGGUCUAUUCCGAUAACGAGCGAGACCCCAUCGUUCCUAAUAGGGGCAGCAGCCCGCUAGCCGCAAGGCCUGCAGCUGCAGCUUAAGAUUAGCUUCUUAGACGUAUCAGAGCCGAUAAGGUUCUUGAAAUGGGUUAAUAACAGGUCAGUCAUGCCCUUAGAUGUUCUGGGCCGCACGCGCGUUACAAUGGCAUGUAAAGCAAGUGCUUUUCAAAGGCGUCUCCGGGGCCGAAAGGCCUCGGUAACCCUUAGUCCCUGCCUUGACUGGGACAGAUCUUUGCAAUUAUUGGUCUCAAACGAGGAAUUUUUAGUAGUCGCAGGUCAUUAACCUGCGACGA
rnacentral:rRNA from 1 species